rnacentral:rRNA from 1 species
AGAGUUUGAUCUGGCUCAGAUUGAACGCUGGCGGAAUGCUUUACACAUGCAAGUCGAACGGCAGCACGGGGCAACCUGGUGGCGAGUGGCGAACGGGUGAGUAAUACAUCGGAACGUGCCCAAUCGUGGGGGAUAACGUAGCGAAAGUUACGCUAAUACCGCAUACGAUCUACGGAUGAAAGCGGGGGAUCGCAAGACCUCGCGCGAGUGGAGCGGCCGAUGUCAGAUUAGGUAGUUGGUGGGGUAAAGGCUCACCAAGCCAACGAUCUGUAGCUGGUCUGAGAGGACGACCAGCCACACUGGAACUGAGACACGGUCCAGACUCCUACGGGAGGCAGCAGUGGGGAAUUUUGGACAAUGGGCGCAAGCCUGAUCCAGCCAUUCCGCGUGCAGGAUGAAGGCCUUCGGGUUGUAAACUGCUUUUGUACGGAACGAAACGGCGAGCUCUAAUACAGUUUGCUAAUGACGGUACCGUAAGAAUAAGCACCGGCUAACUACGUG